rnacentral:rRNA from 1 species
UAGGGAAUCUUCGGCAAUGGACGAAAGUCUGACCGAGCAACGCCGCGUGAGUGAAGAAGGCUUUCGGAUCGUAAAACUCUGUUGUUAGAGAAGAACAAGGACGUUAGUAACUGAACGUCCCCUGACGGUAUCUAACCAGAAAGCCACGGCUAACUACGUGCCAGCAGCCGCGGUAAUACGUAGGUGGCAAGCGUUGUCCGGAUUUAUUGGGCGUAAAGCGAGCGCAGGCGGUUUCUUAAGUCUGAUGUGAAAGCCCCCGGCUCAACCGGGUAGGGUCAUUGGAAACUGGGAGACUUGAGGGCAGAAGAGGAGAGUGGAAUUCCAUGUGUAGCGGUGAGAUGCGUAGAUAUAUGGAGGAACACCAGUGGCGAAUGCGGCUCUCUGGUCUGUAACUGACGCUGAGGCUCGAAAGCGUGGGGAGCAAACAGG